rnacentral:rRNA from 1 species
GAUUAACGUUGGCGGCGUGCAUAACACAUGCAAGUUGAGCGUGGCUUUAGUUUACUAAAGUCUAGCAGCGGACGGCUGAGUAAUGCACAGGAACGUACCAUAAAGUGGGGGAUAGCCCUUCGAAAGAAGGGGUAAUACCGCAUGUGCUCGCAAGAGUAAAGCCGCAAGGCGCUUUUUGAACGGCCUGUGUCCUAUCAGGUUGUUGGUGGGGGUAAUUGCCUACCAAGCCUAUGACGGGUAGCCGGCCUGAGAGGGUGACCGGCCACACUGGGACUGAGACACGGCCCAGACUCCUACGGGAGGCAGCAGUGGGGAUAUUGCACAAUGGGCGAAAGCCUGAUGCAGCGACGCCGCGUGAGGGA